UACGUAGGGUGCAAGCGUUGUCCGGAAUUAUUGGGCGUAAAAGGGCUCGUAGGCGGUCCAUCACGUCGGGAGUGAAAAGCUGGGGCUUAACCCCAGUCCUGCUUCCGAUACGGGUGGACUAGAGGUAGGCAGGGGAGAACGGAAUUCCUGGUGUAGCGGUGAAAUGCGCAGAUAUCAGGAGGAACACCAAUGGCGAAGGCAGCACUCUGGGACGGUACUGACGCUGAGACGCGAAAGCGUGGGGAGCAAACAGG
rnacentral:rRNA from 1 species